rnacentral:rRNA from 1 species
AUGAAGAAAGACAUCGAAGUUGAGUUACAAAAUUUGGAUUCUCGCAUUUGCUUAACAUCUGAUAUGUGGACAUCAUCACAGAGCUUGGGCUACAUGUCCAUCACUGCCCACUAUAUCAAUGCAGAAUUCAUCUACAAGAAGAAAAUCAUCAGUUUCGCAGAGGUGAAGUAUCCUCACACGGGCUAUGCGAUAGAAGAGGAACUUGUUGGUUGCCUAACAGAAUGGGGCAUAAGGGGCAAGCUCUUCACUUUUACACUAAAUAAUGCCAGCAAUAAUACUAAUGCAUGA